CUCCGCUUCCCUGUCUAACUGCAGCCUGCCAGUGUUGGUGACUUCUUGGAUAUUUGACAGUGUCCUGCUAUCCAGCAUCUCUCCUCCUCUAUCCCAUUGGCUCUUUGUCUAUCCUAUACCUUGUAUCCACUCUGUCUACAAUUUGAUAACUCUAGCUUUCCUGUCAAAUCUACCGCUCUGUCUGCUUUUGGAAACUCUAUCUUUGUAUCCCUCUUCUAUCCCACUCUAUCUGUAUACAGAAGCCUGAAAACCCUGAUAUUCUGAAACCUGAACCCUGAAACCUGAACCUAAGGUUAUUGCAACCUGUCUGAACAGAACUCUGAGAGUAUCUCCACUCUCCCGCUCUCUGUCUCUCCUCUGAACACUCACUCACCCGGGUUAUUGGUACCUGAUCUACCUUUUUGAAUGAUCUGAGAGAUUCUCUUCUCUCACUCUCACCUCUCUCCUAUCAACUCCUAUAUUUAUACAAUACUAUUACUGUUUUUACUAAUUUGACAAAACAUUUGAAAUUACUAUUAAUGAGAUUAACAAAAUUGGCCUGAACAAAGAAUUGAAAAGUUAAUUCAGAAGCUGAAAAAAA